UCUUUCUUCCUUUUCUUUUCUUUCUUCUCCUCCCUUCUUCUUUCUUUCCCGACCUCCUCCGCCUCCUCUUCUCCCAUAAACUAAGAGGCGAGCUCGGAAGGGGCGCUCGGGAGGAGCCGGGUCCGAGGUCGACGGUGCCGGCGGCCGGCCAACGCUGCUCGCGACUCAGCCUGCAGCGGCCGACCUCCCUUCCUCUUCGUCUUCCAUUUCUUAUCCCUCUCUAGUGAAGGGGGGGUUUCCCUUCCCCAUGGACAAGGAGAAGCCGGUGGUGCACGCCGGUCUGCGGCCAAGCUAGCGGCGCCCGCAUGGCGCACGGCUGGCCUCGCGGCCGAUGCCUGUGGUCGACCCGACGACGCUCGCAGUGCCCCGAACCGGCGACGUCCACGGCCGGAGGAUAGAGAUCCUCUCCGAUCUCCUCCGGCUGAGAUCAAGCCGGUUCCCACGGAUGGGAACUGGGUUUCACUCGAGCUGAGGACCCUUCCAUGAAUAGGAUUUUUAGAUCUAAGGUUUUGAUGGAAGGGAAAGCCAAAAUCGAGUUGAAGAGAAAGGGCUCUUCGGCAUGGCCGACCAUGGCCUUCGAUCGACCGAGCCAAUGUGGGAUCACGGCCGCUCACAGCUGCACUAGUUUAUGGGCUUACCUAGCUCCGAGGCUGUGCGGCCUUUCCGGCAAAUACUGUAUCUCCUCCGGCGGCUCAAUUGCGGUGACGAGCUGGGUUGUCUCCUCCUCCGUCGCUCCCGAUCCAGCUCCUUUGGACAAAAGGAGAAGGCAAUGAGAGGUAGUGAGAGGGUGAGGGAUGAAGCAUCUCUAAGAAGACUCCUAGGUUCUUAUAGCCCUGGUGUGGGGGAGAAGAAUGGUGGUGAUCAUGGCUGUCAGGCGGUUGUAACCGCCUCAGCUGGCGAUCACCACCUCUGGGUCUCCAGAUGGGCCGGCCAUGUUGGGCUUGGCCCAUUAGCUCACUAUCUUAUGGGCUGGUUUUCACAGUAAUUAGUUCUGUUUGUUUGGAGCUCGUUUAGAACCGGCUUCUCAUCUUUUCAUCUCAUGUCCUUUUCACUAGAGGUAUCUGGUUCUGCUUUCAUGUCGUUUCUUAAUUUGGAAGGCUGACCCUCAAACUUCCAUAAAACUUUGGACCUCAUGGAGACGAAGAAAGAUUCAGACUUCGAUGAGAAAAGCUUGGAAUCAGCUCCUUCAAUGGCUUCAUGUCGGCACAUUUGGUACGAGCAGAAAGCGAGAAUCUUCCUUAGGAGAAACUCUAUGUCACCACUGAUGACAGUUGGGUCUGAAUGAUUUGUUUUUGCUCCCUUGUGGCCUCCAUCUUCUCGUAUUUGUAAAUUCUUCAAAACUUCUGUAAAUAUUGUUCUAUGCAUGCAUCUUCCUUGUUGAUUAA